UCUACCCCUUUUGUUUUUUUUUCUUUUGGGCUUUGUUGUUUUUUUUGGGCCUGGGGGCUGCUGGUGGUAUGGCCUGCUGGGUCGGGUCGUCAGUUGAUUCGGGUCGGGUCAGUUUGACCCGACUGAAUUAAAAUUUUUUCUUUCCCUUUCUUCUUUCUUUCUUUCUUUCUUCUCUUUUUCUUAAUUUCUUUCUUUCUUUCACGAUCAGCGCCCCCUUUUGUGUUGUCGGUGACGCCUCCUGGUGCGACGGCCGGCGGUGGUGCGCACGGUGGUCUCCUUUUCCCCUCCCUUUCCUUCUUUUCUUUUUUUCUUUUUCGAAGCUUUUUUUUCUCUCUUUUUUCUUUGCCUUUUUCUUUUUUGUUUUGGCUCUUGUUUGCUUUGCUAGGUGUCGGCGAUGGGUACGACGGUGCUGGUGCGACGGCCGGCGGUUACAGGUGGCUAGGGAGGGCCUAGGUCGGCCGCCGCCGUUGCAGGUGCACAACUUGCGCUGGCGACUGCCAGAAGGACCAGAUUGCAAAUGCAGUAAAAAUUCUAGGGCCAAAGUGUAAUUUUGGGAAAAUUUAGGGUCAAAAUGUAAUUCUAGGAAUGUUCAAGGGUUAAAAUGCAAUUUCAAGAAAGUUUAAGGGUUGAAAUGUAAUUUCAAAAAAGUUAGGGGUCAAAAUGCAA